CACGUAAUAGCACUUCGAUUGGUAAUUAGUGCAGAUGACAUAUGAGACAUGAAUCUAUGAUCGUAGGAUUGAUCCGUUACGUAAUGCCAAAUCGGAGGACACAUAGCGAAGCGCACUUGGGCCGUACUGACGCGAAGAGCGAAAGCGUGGGGAGCGAACAGGAUUAGAUACCCUGGUAGUCCACGCCGUAAACGUUGGGCACUAGGUGUGGGACCCUAUCGACGGGUUCCGUGCCGUAGCUAACGCAUUAA
rnacentral:rRNA from 1 species